rnacentral:rRNA from 1 species
UACGUAGGGUGCAAGCGUUAAUCGGAAUUACUGGGCGUAAAGCGUGCGCAGGCGGUUUUGUAAGUCUGUCGCGAAAGCCCCGGGCUCAACCUGGGAAUUGCGAUGGAGACUGCAAGGCUUGAAUCUGGCAGAGGGGGGUAGAAUUCCACGUGUAGCAGUGAAAUGCGUAGAGAUGUGGAGGAACACCGAUGGCGAAGGCAGCCCCCUGGGUCAAGAUUGACGCUCAUGCACGAAAGCGUGGGGAGCAAACAGG